rnacentral:rRNA from 1 species
UCCCUAGAUGUUCUGGGCCGCACGCGCGCUACACUGAACAGUUCAACAAGUCUAAACCUUGGCCGAUAGGUCUGGGUAAUCUUUGAACGCUGUUCGUGACUGGGAUAGACCUUUGCAAUUAUGGGUCUUCAACGAGGAAUUCCUAGUAAACGCAAGUCAUCAGCUUGCAUUGAUUACGUCCCUGCCCUAUGUACACACCGCCCGUCGCACCUACCGAUUGAAUGGUCCGGUGAAAUCUCGGGACGGCGGCUUGGUCGCUUGCGUCCGACUGCUGAAACUUGAUUAAACCAUAUCAUUUAGAGGAAGGUGAAGUCGUAACA